UACGGGGGGGGGCAAGCGUUGUUCGGAAUUACUGGGCGUAAAGGGCUCGUAGGCGGCCAACUAAGUCGGAUGUGAAAAUCCCCCAGGCUUAACCUGGGAACUGCAUCCGAUACUGGAUGGCUUGAAUCCGGGAGAGGGAUGCAGAAUUCCAGGUGUAGCGGUGAAAAUGCGUAGAUAUCUGGAGGAAUACCGGUGGCGAAGGCGGCAUCCUGGACCGGCAUUGACGCUGAUGAGCGAAAAGCUAGGGGAGCAAACGGG
rnacentral:rRNA from 1 species